AUGCAUGCCCUUAUCGGUAUGGUUCCUCCGGAGCCUCGUGAACCAGAAGCAGAAGACAAGAAGAAGGAAAGAGUCGCAGCUGGUGCCCCUUUCACUUGGAUUCAAUCGAAUUUUAGUACUUGCCCUGAGGAUGCUAAUGAGGACACGGUGAAGACAUAUGCUCAUGUGUACAUGUGGUACGUGAUAUCCAGGACUAUGUUUGCUGAUGGCACAUGCAAGAAUGCUCCAUGGAUGUGGCUGAAGGCGUUGACCGUCUUCGAUAGCAAAUGGAGCUGGGGUUCGGCCACACUGGCUUACUUGUAUCGACAUGUACGAAGUUGUUUCCUUUUCACUUCAUUGCUACAUUAUCAAUGCGAUCUUGUUGUUAAUUCAAUCAUGUUCUCUUUUAUGUGCAGCUGGACGAAGCCUGUUGUAGGACAUCUGGAGGUAUUGGUGGUUGUAUGCUCGCACUUUCCAUAUGGAGCUGGGAGCGUUUGCUGGUUGGACGACCGAAGAUCGUUAAGCACGAGGAUUGGGACGACAAGCACGACCCACUACGGCGCCCCACUUGGGCUUACAAGUGGGAUGUGUUAA
rnacentral:rRNA from 1 species